CAUCGGUGCUGCUCUGCUGCUGUCGCGCGCGCAAGUGCUGCUCUGUGCUGGCUGCUGCUGUUCUGUGCGCGCCGGUGCGCUCGGUGCUGCUCUGGUGCUGCUGCUGUUGCUCGCGCCGGGAUGCGCCGUGCGCGAGCCGGUGGGCGCAGAAGACUGGUCAGAUCUGAAGCUCUGGAUGCUGCUACUGUGCGGUACAGCUCUUGGUCAGAUCUGAAGCUCUGGUUCCUGCUGCCGUCGAGGAGAGACGUCCUCAGCUCGGGAUCCCCCUUAAAUCGAUCAGACUAGCAAGAGUACUCUUCACCCAAUCGAUCAGCGCCGCCCCACCCUGCCGACCGCCACUCCACCACCCAAUCGACCGUCGCGCCGCCUGCAUCUGCUGCUCGUCGCCGCGCCGCCUGCAUCGCCCCCACACAGCCAGCCUUCUCUUCUACUUUGUAAAUGCUAAAUGAUGAAAUUUUGGAAAAUUAGAGUAUCAUUAAAAUUG
rnacentral:lncRNA from 1 species